CAUUGACAUAUUGUUCAGACAUGUAUUACAUGCAUAUGUAAAUAGUUUUUGUUGUUCUGCUCUGAAGCGCCUUGAGCCUCUAAUAAGGAUGGAAAGUGCGCAAUAUAAAUCUUAUGUACUAUUAUUAUUAACAUGACCAUCACUAUACUUCUUAUGAUAUUUAUGAGGAUGAAGGCAGACCAUCUGUAAUGAUAGGCAUGUGCAGAAGGAUGAUACUGCUGACACAAUUUUAGAGACCUUAAAGACAAUUAUACACGAUGUUGUCGGGGAACAAGUAGAUCAAGCCUAAAAUCAAGCAGUGAAUACCGUUUUGGCAAACAUAAGGAACAUAAUGAGCGAUAGGCAUACCAUUCAGAAGAAAUUCUUUCUUAAAUUGAAGGGUAUUUCGGCCGUACCCCUUGCUCCUUUUAAAUGCAAUAGGUUUUCAAAAAUUUUUCGCAACGCUGCCAGUGUUGCUUACCUGCUACCAGAAAUACAAGCACUUUUUGACAUCCAUGAAGAUGAGAAUCUCCUGCUGAAGGCUGUCAUUGCCAAUUUAGGCAUCAGCCAGUUUGCUGCUGGGCCUCAUUGACAAGUUUAUCACCGGUCCGUUAUGGCACGCGAUAAAUCAGAAGGGAGUGUAGUAGCGACUGCCUUGGGGGCUGGGGUUCGGAUAUUCUCGGAGGAUUUCGUAAGGAGUCGGUGGGGUUUCUCGACCUGUGACCCAGGGUCACAGGUAGUAUGCUCUUCAUGACUCACACGUGUUUGGACCGUUGAACUGAAAGCAUCGCUUUUGCCGAAACUCCUGAAAGAGCUGUUUCUUGUUUGGAUACCAAGCUGGGCAGACCUAAGUACAGGUAAGUGGGUUCUUUAUUUGAACUUAGGACCCGCGCGGCUUCAGGAGGUUCAUGUAGAAGACAAGUUAUUCAUGAGAGUUUUUCUAGGUGGUCAGAGGAUAGGAACCAACUCGUGAGGGGGGAUGAUGUCCUAUUUCAUGACAUUGACAUCAAGAAAGAUCAAAUUUAUCAUUCACUAGUGCAAGUUAAUCCAGAUUUGGAUGCAAUGACAAAGCAGGCUCUAGAAUUUGUUUUCCUGAUAUUCUUCCAAGUCACCUAAAAGAUGUUGGCCGACCAUUUGCCUUCCGGCUCUCAUACAGUAAUAGAUGGAAAAAAGAAAAGGAAAACAGCUAGUAUGCCAAGGACCAAUGCAAGUUUAGAAAGAAAUUUCAGUACGCAAGAGAGGUUGAUGCACUUAAAGCCAGCCACGAGUACAAUGGCGUAUGAAGGGAUAGUUAUGAAUGUAAAGAAUAGGACAAGUGAAGGGAGGAAUACAUGGAAUAUGCCCAGAAGAGCAUCAAGGCUCAAAGGGAGGAAUACGCACAAAGGGUAGAGACCCUAUGGGAUAAUAGGGAAGGCACACAAAAAAAUCAGAAGCAAAUUGCCAAAUAAGGUGAGGACUGAAAAGUUGUUUGCUCGUGUUAGCAGCAAGUGCAGCAGGAUAUGGCUCUCAGAAACUAAAGUCAAUUCUCGAUUAGAGGGGGCCAAUGACAAGCAUGCCAUUGAAAUGCUUUACUCUCAGUCACAGGCUAGAUGACAUGUUUUUGGGAAGAAUAUUGACAGUAAUUUAGAUAUCACUGUCAAAGGUAGAAAGAAGAGCUUGUUAGAACUAAAACAGUCCCUAAUUAGUGUAAUCAAAGCAGCCAAUGACAGGGACUGUAAUGUUGAAGAAGAAGAAAUCAAUUAUGAUUAGGCCGUAGCACCCACCGACAAGGUAGAUGUGUUCAGGCAAAAGACGUGCAAAAAGAUGGCAAAAGAAAAACUAGGACCUCAUGAGGCAAGGCCGUGAACUACGAUAGCUUAGUGGGAAUAAUAGUUGACCAUCUAUCAAUAGACGAAGAUGGUGACGUGUAAGGGUGGUACCGUGCCAUAGUUGUUCGAAAAUAUCAGAGGUCUUAGCUAUGAUAGUGACCCAAUGUCGAUCUAAACUUAUCCAAAUAGAGACAUAGAAGGUUUGGAAAAAGGGGACCUCGAGGUUGUAGAAUUGAAUGUUGAUGAUAUAGUAGGGAUGUAUUUAAUUCAUCAGUUUGUGGUCGGGGAUGAAAAGAUAUGGUAUGUACAGAGGUAGAUGAGUUCAGGCAAAAGACGUGCAAAAAGAUGGCAAAAGAAAAGACUAGGACCUCAUGAGGCAAGGCCGUGAACUACGAUAGCUUAGUGGGAAUAAUAGUUGACCAUCUAUCAAUAGACGAAGAUGGUGACGCGUAAGGGUGGUACCGUGCCAUAGUCGUUCAAAAAUAUCCAAGAGGUCUUAGCUAUGAAAGUGACCCAAUGUCGAUCUAAACUUAUCCAAAGAGAGACAUAGAAGGUUUGGAAAAAGGGGACCUCGAGGUUGUAGAAUUGAAUGUUGAUGAUAUAGUAGGGAUGUAUUUAAUUCAUCAGUUUGUGGUCGGGGAUGAAACGAUAUGGUAUGUACAGAGGGUUCAUAUCCUCUGUAACCGGCCCCCAUGAAUGCCUCGUCGAGUAUAAAUCUUUAGAAGAUGAAAAUGUCGACAGCGAUACAAUAGAUAAUACAUGGGUAGGACCAAUUUUAGAAGAUUGUCUUAAUAAUGACCUGAGGUUUGUUAGACCUAAAAUACCAAAUAUUCUUGUAAUGCUCCAGAUCAAAUUUAUCAUUUACAUGGAAUAUGCCCAGAAGAGCGUCAAGGCUCAAAGGGAUGAAUAUGCGUGAAGGGUAGAGACCCCUUGGGAUAAUAAGAAAUCCAAAAGAAAAAAUCAGAAGCAAAUUGCCAAAUAAGGUAAGGACUGAAAAGUUGUAUGCUAGUGUUAGCAGAAAGUGCGUCAGGAUAUGGCUAUCAGAAACUGAAGUCAAUUCUCGAUUAGACGGGGUCAAUGAAAAGCUUGCCAUCAAAAUGCUUCACUCUCAGUUACAGGCUAGAUUUCUUUUUUGGGAGAAGAACAUUGACAGUAAUUUAAAUAUCACUGUCAAAGGUAGAAAGAAGAGCUUGUUAGAACUAAAACAGUCCAUAAUUAGUGUAAUCAAAGCAGCCAAUGACAGGGUUUGUAAUGUUGAAGAAGAAAUUAAUUAUGAUUAGGCCGUAGCACCCACCCGACAAGGUAGUUGAGUUCAGGCAAAAGAUGCACAAAAAGAUGGCAAAAGAAAAGACUAGGACCUCAUGAGGCAAGGCCGUGAACUACGAUAGCUUAGUAGGAAUAAUAGUUGACCAUCUAUCAAUAGACGAAGAUGGUGACGCGUAAGGGUGGUACCGUGCCAUAGUCGUUCGAAAAUAUCAAAGAGGUCUUAGCUAUGAUAGUGACCCAAUGUCGAUCUAAACUUAUCCAAAGAGAGACAUAGGUUUGGAAAAAGGGGACCUCAAGGUUGUAGAAUUGAAUGUUGAUGAUAGUAGGGAUGCAUUUCAUUCAUCACUUUGUGGUCGGGGAUGAAAAGAUAUGGUAUGUACAGAGGGUUCAUAUCCUCCGUAAACGGCCCCAAUGAACGCCUCGUAGAGUGAAUCUUUAGAAGAUGAAAACGACGAUGACAGUGAUACAACAAUUACAUGGGUAGGACCAAUUUUAGAAGAUUAUCUUAAUAACGACCUGAGGUAUGUUAGACCUACAAUACCAAAUAUUCUUGUAAUGCUCCAUUCAGAACUCUUAACCCUCCAUAUAUUUAUGCUGGAGGUUGGUGCAGAGCUUUGAAUCAAGCGAGCCGAUGUAAACUAUUGUCUUGUUAUAUCUGACAACCAAAACAAUGAAUUAAUGGUGGGUCGAGGCAAAAGACAGCCAAUUCAUUUGUUAUUUAUCAAUUUUUCAUUUACCUUUACCGGAGACUGAUUUCUUGCCCAGCCCUACGCGGCGAAAAGAGAGCUUGGGCUAGAGCUUUUCGGUGGCAGUUUCUGAAGAGCGCUCAACCAAGAUUUUUUGUUUCUCUCACUCUGUCUCUAUCUCUUUACAAAGCCACUCCAUUCUUUGCAACUCUAUCUCACUCUACUCAUUUUAACCACUCUACAUGCCUUACGUUUUGUGAAAUAACAGAAACUGUUAUUGGUCGCGAUAUUUUUGUGUUGUGCUUUACAUUGUAACUUUUGUUAAAUUUGGAAUGAAAAAGAAUAAAUGCAAUCAAUCAAUCAAACUGUAGAAUGCAUUGACGUAAUGAGCCAAAUGAGGGAUGCGUGUUAUGCAUAUACUUAUGAUAAAAAUAAACAUAGGCGGAUCCAGGGGGGCCCUGAGGGGAACGCCCUUCUCCCCAUUGGCUGAGAAAAAAAAAACAGAAGGGGAAAGAAAGAAAAGGAGCGAGCCGAGCGAGCAAAAAUUUUGAAUUUUUAUUACAAAAUCAGAGUGUGUGAGACAUUUUUUCUAAGUACUAGAAAAUAAUAUUUUACCCUUUGCUCUUCCCUUUUCACUUCUUUUUCUUGGUUGUGAUUUUUUUUUUUUGGGGGGGGGGGGCGAGAAACCAAAGCCCCUAUCUAUUACGUCACGGGUAAAAUAUUAAAGUUAAUUACUUUACCGCAGAUUUCGAUUAAUUUUUCAGUGUUAUGCUUCUUUACGUUGGGCCGUGGAUUUUCUUCUUUUACAGCUUGUUAGAACUAAAACAGUCCCUAAUUAGUGUAAUCAAAGCAGCCAAUGACAGGGCCUGUAAUGUUGAAGAAGAAGAAAUCAAUUAUGAUUAGGCCGUAGCACCCACCGACAAGGUAGAUGAGUUCAGGCAAAUGACGCGCAAAAAGAUGGCAAAAGAAAAGACUAGGACCUCAUGAGGCAAGGCCGUGAACUACGAUAGCUUAGUGGGAAUAAUAGUUGACCAUCUAUCAAUAGACGAAGAUGGUGACGCGUAAGGGUGGUACUGUGCCAUAGUCGUUUGAAAAUAUCAAAGAGGUCUUAGGUAUGAUAGUGACCCAAUGUUGAUCUAAACUUAUCCAAAGAGAGACAUAGAAGAUUUGGAAAAAGGGGACCUCAAGGUUGUAGAAUUGAAUGUUGAUGAUAUAGUAGGGAUGCAUUUAAUUCAUCAGUUUGUGGUCGGGGAUGAAAAGAUAUGGU